GAAAGUAAGCAAGGGCAGACGGUGGAUGCCUUGGCUCUCGGAGGCGACGAAGGACGUGAUAAGCUGCGAAAAGCCCGGGGGAGGCGCAAAUAGCCCUUGAUCCCGGGAUAUCCGAAUGGGGCAACCCGGCAGGCUGAAGGCCUGCCAUCCCGAAAGGGAGGCGAACGUGGGGAACUGAAACAUCUAAGUACCCAUAGGAGGAGAAAAUAAACAAUGAUUCCGUAAGUAGUGGCGAGCGAACACGGAAGAGCCCAAACCCAUGUCGUCUAGGCGACACGGGGGUUGUAGGACCACGACGUGGCAAGAUAGAGUCAAGUGGAACGCCUUGGAAAAGGCGGUCAUAGAGGGUGAAAACCCCGUACACGACUGACGAUUGAAGCCUAGUGGCAUCCUGAGUAGCGCGGGGCACGAGAAAUCUUGCGUGAAUUAGCGGGGCCCAUCCCGUAAGGCUAAAUACUCCCGAGAGACCGAUAGCGAACCAGUACCGUGAGGGAAAGGUGAAAAGAACCCCGAGCAGGGGAGUGAAAUAGACCCUGAACCCGUCUGCCUACAAGCGGUCGGAGCGUCGUAAUGACGUGACGGCGUGCCUUUUGCAUAAUGAACCUACGAGUUACCUUCCCCGGCAAGGUUAAGUUCUUGAGGAACGGAGCCGAAGCGAAAGCGAGUCUGAACAGGGCGCCAAGUCGGGGGGGGUAGACGCGAAACCGAGUGAUCUACCCUUGGCCAGGUUGAAGGUUGGGUAACACCAACUGGAGGACCGGAUGGGUAAGCGUUGAAAAGCUUUCCAAUGAGCUGAGGGUAGGGGUGAAAGGCUAAUCAAACUCGGAGAUAGCUCGUACUCCCCGAAAUGCAUUUAGGUGCAGCCUCUUUAUAGUAUAUCGUGAGGUAGAGCGACUGAUUGGAUGCGAGGGCUUCACCGCCUAUCAAGUCCAGAUAAACUCCGAAUGCGCGAUAUAUAUUUACAGGGAGUGAGGGCGCGGGUGCUAAGGUCCGUGUCCGAGAGGAGAAGAAUCCAGACCACCGGCUAAGGCCCCCAAAUGAUCGUUAAGUUGAACUAACGAGGUCGGAUCGCAGAGACAGCUAGGAUGUUGGCUUGGAAGCAGCCAUUCAUUUAAAGAGUGCGUAACAGCUCACUAGUCGAGCGAUCUGGCGUGGAUAAUAAUCGGGCAUAAACGAUCUGCCGAAGCCGUGGAUGUCGCAAGACAUGGUAGGGGAGCAUUCCAUGCCGCGUCGAAGAUGAGGGAUGACCCUUGUUGGAGCGCAUGGAAAAGCAAAUGUAGGUAUGAGUAACGAUAAGGGGGGCGAGAAACCCCCCCGCCGAAAGACCAAGGUUUCCUGAUCAACGCUAAUCGGAUCAGGGUGAGUCGGGACCUAAGGCAAAGCCGAACGGCGCCGCCGAUGGAAGAAUGGGUUAAUAUUCCCAUACUGCCUCAUGGAGUGACGUGGAGACGGAGAAGUGACAGUCCUGCCGGCUGACGGAAUAGCCGGUUGAAGGGUGUAGAUAUUGAUUCCCGUAGGCAAAUCCGCGGGGAGAGUCGAACCUGAGAGUAUACGGAGCGCUUGCGCAACGUAAUAUGGACGUAACCAUGCUCCCGAGAAAAUCCGCUAAACUUAUCCAUGCGGCACCCGUACCGUAAACGGACACACGUGGUCGGGUUGAGAAUACUGAGGCGCUCGAGUGAUUCACGGUUAAGGAACUAGGCAAAUUGACCCUGUAACUUCGGGAUAAAGGGUCCUCGUCGUAAGGCGAGGCGCAGAGAAUAGGUCCAGGCAACUGUUUAACAAAAACACAUGGCUGUGCUAAAUGGAAACAUGAUGUAUACAGCCUGACACCUGCCCGGUGCCGGAAGGUUAAGAGGAGAUGUCAUCCGCGAGGAGAAGCGUUGAAUUGAAGCCCCGGUAAACGGCGGCCGUAACUAUAACGGUCCUAAGGUAGCGAAAUUCCUUGUCGGGUAAGUUC
rnacentral:rRNA from 1 species